rnacentral:rRNA from 1 species
CGGGUGAGUAAUGCGUGACCAACCUGCCCCAUGCUCCAGAAUAGCUCUUGGAACCGGGUGGUAAUGCUGGAUGCUCCAACUUGACGCAUGUCUUGUUGGGAAAGUGUUUAGUGGCAUGGGAUGGGGUCGCGUCCUAUCAGCUUGUAGGCGGGGUAAUGGCCCACCUAGGCUUCGACGGGUAGCCGGCCUGAGAGGGCGGACGGCCACAUUGGGACUGAGAUACGGCCCAGACUCCUACGGGAGGCAGCAGCA